rnacentral:rRNA from 1 species
UACGUAGGGGGCAAGCGUUGUCCGGAAUCAUUGGGCGUAAAGCGCGUGUAGGCGGCACGGUAAGUCCGGUGUGAAAACUUGGGGCUCAACCCCAAGCCUGCACCGGAUACUGCCGCGCUCGAGUCCGGGAGAGGGAAGCGGAAUUCCUAGUGUAGCGGUGAAAUGCGCAGAUAUUAGGAAGAACACCGGUGGCGAAGGCGGCUUCCUGGAACGGUACUGACGCUGAGACGCGAAAGCGUGGGGAGCGAACAGG